rnacentral:rRNA from 1 species
GCCCAGACUCCUACGGGAGGCAGCAGUGAGGAAUAUUGGUCAAUGGGCGAGAGCCUGAACCAGCCAAGUCGCGUGAGGGAAGAAGGCCCUGCGGGUCGCAGACCUCUUUGGACGGGGAGCAAGGCCGCCGACGUGUCGGCGGAAGGAGAGUACCCGUAGAACAAGCAUCGGCUAACUCCGUGCCAGCAGCCGCGGUAAUACGGAGGAUGCGAGCGUUAUCCGGAUUUAUUGGGUUUAAAGGGUGCGCAGGCGGCCGGGCAAGGCGGGGGUAAAAUCGCGGGGCUCACCCGCGCUCCGCCGUUGAAACUGGCGUUCUUGAGUGGGCGAGAAGUAUGCGGAAUGCGUGGUGUAGCGGUGAAAUGCAUAGAUAUCGCGCAGAACUCCGAUUGCGAAGGCAGCAUGCCGGCUCCACACUGACGCUGAGGCACGAAAGCGUGGGUAUCGAACAGGAUUAGAUACCCCAGUA